rnacentral:ncRNA from 2 species
CCCGUCGAGGGGCGCUGCGACCGUUGGUGCAUGCGGAUCCGUCCGCAACCGCCUGCACAUCCCUGUGCAGACUGCUCAUCCAACGGCCAGGCUCGGCGGUUCCUUUCACAACGGCGCCCGGUUUGU